AUCAAAAACAUGAACUUGAGUCGGAUUCGUUAAGCGAUACUGACGUGCAAAUCGUUCGUCUGACUUGGGUAUAGGGGCAAAAGACUAAUCGAACCAUCUAGUAGCUGG
rnacentral:rRNA from 1 species